rnacentral:rRNA from 1 species
UACGGUGAAUACGUUCCCGGGACCUUGCACACACCCGCCCCGUCAAGCCAUGGAAGCCGGGUGUACCUAAAGUCGGUAACCGUAAGGAGCCGCCUAGGGUAAAAACUGGUGACUGGGGCU